AAUUAAACUCGUCCUAAUUUUAGUAUUGUUUUUUUCUUUAUGUGGAAAAGAAUUUUACAGGUAGAAUUUUACACUUUAAUUAUAAUUAGAUACAUGAAAUAUGUAGAGAAAUCCAUAGUAAUAAUAAUAAAGAGGCAAUUAAUUAAAGUGUUUUUGCAACCAUAAACCAACUUAAUAUUUAUUGUGAUGAAAGAAAAAAAAUAUAAACCAAAUGAAGCUUCUCCACAAACCUCAACAACAAACUCAAAUCUCUACUCACCUUCACAAAUUAAUCCUCCAUCGCCUCCGAUUUCUGAACCAGAUCCGACAGGUUUGACCCAACUGACCCGCCGCGGGAUAUGGAUGUGCUCCGGUGGCGUCGGCAUCGGAAAGAUCCAAUGUGAGUGGUCGGAGAGCAGAGACAAUUCGAUUUAAUGCUCCGGGACUUCGUCAUCCUCGACAACGCCGUCGGUGACAUUAGCAGAUUCGCAUUCUUUUUCAGAUCGUCGAAUUCCGUCUCCACCAUUGCCGAUUUCGAGAUGCCGGUGAGGCGAUCACAUGGGUGAUCAAAAGCCGGGGAAUGAUGGUUGGAUUUGCGGCUUCCGGAGAGGAAUGAGGAGAAGCUUCAAUGGCGGAUUUUCUGUGGUGGGUGUUCUGUUCAGUUCUGAUUCCCCUUUGGGGAUUGGAACAGAAGAGUUUGGGUUUAAGGAUUUGGAAUGGAUUUUAUAAGAGAAAAAUUGGGGAGAUUUGGUAAUUUUGUGGGUUUUCAAGGGUUUCUAAACAAUUAUCGUUUCUAUUUUUAAUCUAUUAUUUGUGGCCAUUGGUUAAAACUGUUUUUGUGAAGGGAGAGAGGUCGUUAAUGGUUUAAUUUGGGGUUUAGUUUCAUUUUGUUUCUUUUGUCUUUCAUUGAUUUGAUUAAAUUGUAAAUUUAGUAAUGGAACAAAGCUAAGUGUGACUAUUCCGAUAGAAUGGUUGCAUUGUUUCGUAAAUGUACAUGUUUCUUCAAAAUUUA